UCUAUAAUGCCUUUUGUGAUACUCAGAUCUGGAAAGCAUUUGUUGCCACUUUCCCCCUCUUUAGUUCUUAUCUGGAGCUUUCCUUGAAAAAGAAUGAAAUAAAAAUGAGUAAGCACUUUCACAGUCUAAGAUCUGGGACUUUUUCCACAGGGUUGAGAGCCCUUCCAAUUAUUUGCCUUCAGCUGGGCAGGAAUCCUGAGUUUAGCUACCACUCCCAAUAGGUGUUCUGCUGGAAAAAGCAAGGUUCCAAGAAGGAUUUACAGAGAAGAAGGAGCAGAUGAGAGAUACUAGUAGAGUGGGACAGGAAAGAACUUCACAAUCCUCCCAUUCAUCCCAACUACUUCCAGAAACUCUAAAGAGUGAACAUCCUUCAAAACAACUGGCAUGACACAAGACCAGCAGUGUGCAUGUAUAGAUUAUCAGGACCUUAAAUAACUCUCACGUUGCAUUCAGUGAUCUGAAUUUUCAUGCUGCAAAUGUAAAUGCCAUGUUCAAUUUUACUUUCUGCUGCUGUAAUGCAAGUAUGAAUAUUGCCAUUUUCUGUAAACCCAAAAAGAUCUGGCAAAGCAACACUGCUCCUGGGCUUGACAGUGAUGGCAGUGUUUCAGCUUCCAUUAAACAAAUGGGAAAAGACUUAAAAAAUUAAACACAAAGUUUAAUAUUUCAUAGUGGCUUUGCUAAAUGUGACUGGUCUGUCUCUUCCAGAGAACUCUACAGAAAUUGACCUCUUUGGCAGCUGCAUGUCCAAGAUGUCCAUCUGCAGGUGUGCAAGGACUCCUUCACCACAGCACAUCUCAGGCAAGGCUUUUUUCAGCUGGCCAAGCCAGGGGAAUGUGGCCCCAGAGAUCUGAAACCCAGACUUUGGAAAAGACUGGAGAAGUGCUGCUGCACUUAAGCACCUGGCCCUGUUUCUGUGCAACUGCAAGGAGAUCUCAGAUAUCCCCCCCUUUCCUCCCUAGGCUGCAGAGAAUCUGAGAUGGAUCUUAUCUG